CGCCGUAAACGAUGGAUACUAGCUGUGGGGUUUUCGGACUCCGUGGCCAAGCGAAAGUGAUAAGUAUCCCACCUGGGGAGUACGUUCGCAAGAAUGAAACUCAAAGGAAUUGACGGGGGCCCGCACAAGCGGUGGAGCAUGUGGUUUAAUUCGAUGAUACGCGAGGAACCUUACCAGGGCUUAAAUGCAGGCUGCAUGGGGUAGAGACACCCCUUUCUUCGGACCGCCUGCAAGGUGCUGCAUGGUUGUCGUCAGCUCGUGCCGUGAGGUGUCAGGUUAAGUCCUAUAACGAGCGCAACCCCUACCGUUAGUUGCCAGCAUGUCAAGAUGGGGACUCUAACGGGACUGCCGGUGCAAACCGUGAGGAAGGUGGGGACGACGUCAAAUCAUCACGGCCCUUACGUCCUGGGCUACACACGUGCUACAAUGGCCGGUACAGAGGGAAGCCACCCCGCAAGGGGGCGCGGAUCUACAAAACCGGUCACAGUUCGGAUCGGGGUCUGCAACUCGACCCCGUGAAGCUGGAAUCGCUAGUAAUCGGAUAUCAGCCAUGAUCCGGUGAAUACGCUCCCGGGCCUUGUACACACCGCCCC
rnacentral:rRNA from 1 species